AGUAUAGACUGAGAAGGAGAUCUAUCUCUAGUAUAGACUGAGAAGGUGAUCUAUCUCUAGUAUAGACUGAGAAGCUGAUCUAUCUAGUAUAGACUGAGAAGGUGAUCUGUCUAGUAUAGACUGAGAAGCUGAUCUAUCUAGUAUAGACUGAGAAGGUGAUCUAUCUAGUAUAGACUGAGAAGGUGAUCUGUCUAGUAUAGACUGAGAAGGUGAUCUAUCUAGUAUAGACUGAGAAGGUGAUCUGUCUAGUAUAGACUGAGAAGGUGAUCUAUCUAGUAUAGACUGAGAAGGUGAUCUAUCUAGUAUAGACUGAGAAGCUGAUCUAUCUAGUAUAGACUGAGAAGCUGAUCUAUCUAGUAUAGACUGAGAAGGUGAUCUAUCUAGUAUAGACUGAGAAGGUGAUCUAUCUAGUAUAGACUGAGAAGGUGAUCUAUCUAGUGUAGACUGAGAAGGUGAUCUAUCUAGUAUAGACUGAGAAGCUGAUCUAUCUAGUAUAGACUGAGAAGGUGAUCUAUCUAGUAUAGACUGAGAAGGUGAUCUAUCUAGUAUAGACUGAGAAGGUGAUCUAUCUAGUAUAGACUGAGAAGGUGAUCUAUCUCUAGUAUAGACU